rnacentral:lncRNA from 1 species
AAAUGCAGACCACUCAAUUUAAGUGAAUCCCUUAGGCGAAGGAAACGUAUUCGGCGUGGGCGCCGGGCACGGAGUGAACGACCUUACUGCGGGGGGCAGCCACGGGGGCGAAGGCGGGAACCGGGGCAAAGGCGGGUGCUGGGGCGAAGGCGGGUGCUGGAGCAAAGGCGGGUGCCGGGGCGAAGACGGGUGCCGGGGCGAAGGCGGGUGCCGGAGCAAAGGCGGCGGCGGUGGCAACGGCGUAACGCUUUUCACGGCUCAGCUCGGUGGACUCCUCUCCGUAGGCGAAGACGGCGCACAAGGCCAAGACAACGGCAAUCUGGAAUACAGGGCAUCAGACGUUUCGUGUUAUUGAGCUUAAAUUACACUGCCGAAUUAACUCAAAGUAUGUUCACAUUCUCCCGUUAGUACACUAAUUGCAAAAUGUAAUUCUGCGUGUGCACAUUGGAACAAGAUGCACAUUACAUGAAGGCCAAAAUUGACACAUUAACGCCUUUUUUUGGCCGUCGGAGUUAAUAACACUGUUUCUUUUAAAUUUCUUUUAUCAAUGAUGCACAUACAUCAUAAAGCAUGACCAGUGUUACAUCUGUAACUAAAGUGUAUCCAGUUGCCAAGUGCACCUCUGAUACGCCAAUCUAUAAGGAAAAGUGGGAGGAAUACGCAGUGAACUACCGCAUAAUGCAUUUCCUCGUCACUGUAUUUUCAAGAGACGGUUUCUGUUUCGAUUUUGACUGAAGAAACUUGUUAUUCGGACCGUUGGUUCUUGUCUCUUUUUUUUUUUUCAAAUAUUUUUUUUUGCUCAAAUACAAAAUUCACGACUCUGAGCCCAGUGCAACUGACCCAUUCAUAUCGUUAUAAAGUGUCAAAUAUCAAACUUCCUUGACUCGAAGAGUUUCUGGUAAAGUAGUCAAAAGUUGAACUCUAUUACACACACUCAAUCUCAAUUUGAGUUCAGGUUACCAAAAUCUUUUUUAAUACAAAAAAAAGUAAUAAUAAGAGGAGAGACAAAUUGGGAAAAUUUCUUCGAAUCUGCCACUUAAUCUAUAUUUGAUGAAAAAUAAAAAAUAUUCCUUUGUGUUUCUAAAACCUUGUGAACUGAAAAAUAAGCAAUGAACGUACCUGGAAUUUCAUGUUGGAUUUUGAUUAGUGCUUCUAAGCCGUGUUAUCGAAUUGAAGGCACAAAAGGAAUUGAUGCCGUUUGAUGAAUAUUGGACUAUUUUAUACAAAUCUGAAAUUCGGAGUACCAUUAAAACUCAAAUACGAAAAGAACCCCCGGCAGUAAAUAUUAUAGAUGUACCCCUACGGCUACGCUGAUACGUGCCUCUUUGUGAUGCUGGUUUAAUUAAAAUUAGAAUAUGAGAGCAAUAUCGCACGUAGUCAAGUGAGAAAAC